rnacentral:rRNA from 1 species
GACGAACGCUGGCGGCGUGCCUAAUACAUGCAAGUAGGACGCAGGUGCGAACGGGUGAGUAACGCGUAGGUAACUACCUAUUAGAGGGGGAGAACUAUUGGAAACGAUAGCUAAUACCGCAUACUAGUAGAUGGACCUGCGGUGUAUUGGCUAGUAGGUAGGGUAAAGGCCUACCUAGGCAACGAUACAUAGCCGACCUGAGAGGGUGAUCGGCCAAACUUGGACUGGGACACGGCCCAGACUCCUACGGGAGGCAGCAGUAGGGAAUCUUCGGCAAUGGGGGGAACCCUGACCGAGCAACGCCGCGUGAGUGAAGAAGGUUUUCGGAUCGUAAAGCUCUGUUGGUAAGGAAGCGGUACUUAACCAGAAAGGGACGGCUAACUACGUGCCAGCAGCCGCGGUAAUAC